rnacentral:pre_miRNA from 13 species
GACCUCUCCGAUGUCUCCCAGCCCAAGGUGCAGUGCUGCAUCUCUGGUCAGUUGUGAGUCUGAGAUGAAGCACUGUAGCUCGGGAAGGGAGGAGCUGUCCAGCCGG